rnacentral:rRNA from 1 species
UGGGGAAUAUUGCACAAUGGAGGGAACUCUGAUGCAGCGACGCCGCGUGAACGAAGAAGGCUUUCGAGUCGUAAAGUUCUUUUAUAUGGGAAGAUAAUGACGGUACCAUAAGAAAAAGCCCCGGCUAACUACGUGCCAGCAGCCGCGGUAAUACGUAGGGGGCUAGCGUUGUCCGGAAUCACUGGGCGUAAAGGGUUCGCAGGCGGAAAUGCAAGUCAGGUGUAAAAGGCAGUAGCUUAACUACUGUAAGCAUUUGAAACUGCAUAUCUUGAGAGGAGUAGAGGUAAGUGGAAUUUUUAGUGUAGCGGUGAAAUGCGUAGAUAUUAAAAAGAAUACCGGUGGCGAAGGCGACUUACUGGGCUCAUUCUGACGCUGAGGAACGAAAGCGUGGGUAGCGAACAGG